rnacentral:rRNA from 1 species
GACGAACGCUGGCGGCGUGCUUAACACAUGCAAGUCGAACGGAAAGGCCCUGCUUUUGUGGGGUGCUCGAGUGGCGAACGGGUGAGUAACACGUGAGUAACCUGCCCUUGACUUUGGGAUAACUUCAGGAAACUGGGGCUAAUACCGGAUAGGAGCUCCUGCUGCAUGGUGGGGGUUGGAAAGUUUCGGCGGUUGGGGAUGGACUCGCGGCUUAUCAGCUUGUUGGUGGGGUAGUGGCUUACCAAGGCUUUGACGGGUAGCCGGCCUGAGAGGGUGACCGGCCACAUUGGGACUGAGAGACGGCCCAGACUCCUACGGGAGGCAGCAGUGGGGAAUAUUGCACAAUGGGCGGAAGCCUGAUGCAGCAACGCCGCGUGCGGGAUGACGGCCUUCGGGUGGUAAACCGCUUUCGCCUGUGACGAAGCGUGAGUGACGGUAAUGGGGAAAGAAGCACCGGCUAACUACGU